rnacentral:rRNA from 1 species
GACGAACGCUGGCGGCGUGCUUAACACAUGCAAAUCGAACGGAAAGGCCCUGCUUUUGUGGGGUGCUCGAGUGGCGAACGGGUGAGUAACACGUGAGUAACCUGCCCUUGACUUUGGGAUAACUUCAGGAAACUGGGGCUAAUACCGGAUAGGAGCUCCUGCUGCAUGGUGGGGGUUGGAAAGUUUCGGCGGUUGGGGAUGGACUCGCGGCUUAUCAGCUUGUUGGUGGGGUAGUGGCUUACCAAGGCUUUGACGGGUAGCCGGCCUGAGAGGGUGACCUGCCACAUUGGGACUGAGAUACGGCCCAGACUCCUACGGGAGGCAGCAGUGGGGAAUAUUGCACAAUGGGCGGAAGCCUGAUGCAGCAACGCCGCGUGCGGGAUGACGGCCUUCGGGUUGUAAACCGCUUUCGCCUGUGACGAAGCGUGAGUGACGGUAAUGGGUAAAGAAGCACCGGCUAACUACGUG